rnacentral:rRNA from 1 species
UACAGAGGUCCCGAGCGUUGUUCGGAUUCAUUGGGCGUAAAGGGUGCGUAGGCGGCGGGGCAAGUCUGAUGUGAAAUCCCGGGGCUCAACCCCGGAACUGCAUUGGAUACUGCCUUGCUCGAGUACUGGAGAGGGAACUGGAAUUUACGGUGUAGCAGUGAAAUGCGUAGAGAUCGUAAGGAAGGCCAGCGGCGAAGGCGAGUUCCUGGACAGUUACUGACGCUGAGGCACGAAGGCCAGGGGAGCAAACGGG